AGUGAACGCUGGCGGUAGGCCUAACACAUGCCAGUCGAACGGCAGCACAGUAAGAGCUUGCUCUUACGGGUGGCGAGUGGCGGACGGGUGAGGAAUACAUCGGAAUCUACUUUUUCGUGGGGGAUAACGUAGGGAAACUUACGCUAAUACCGCAUACGACCUACGGGUGAAAGCAGGGGAUCUUCGGACCUUGCGCGAUUGAAUGAGCCGAUGUCGGAUUAGCUAGUUGGCGGGGUAAAGGCCCACCAAGGCGGCGAUCCGUAGCUGGUCUGAGAGGAUGAUCAGCCACACUGGAACUGAGACACGGUCCAGACUCCUACGGGAGGCAGCAGUGGGGAAUAUUGGACAAUGGGCGCAAGCCUGAUCCAGCCAUACCGCGUGGGUGAAGAAGGCCUUCGGGUUGUAAAGCCCUUUUGUUGGGAAAGAAAAGCAGCAGGUUAAUACCCCGCUGUUCUGACGGUACCCAAAGAAUAAGCACCGGCUAACUUCGUG
rnacentral:rRNA from 1 species